GAGGCUGUAACUUAGUUGGUAAAGUGCGCUGCUCAUAACAGUGAUAUCAAGUGUUCGAAUCACUUCAGCCUUA
rnacentral:tRNA from 2 species